rnacentral:rRNA from 1 species
AGGACGAACGCUGGCGGCGUGCCUAACACAUGCAAGUCGAACGGGACCAGGGGCAACUCUGGUUCAGUGGCGGACGGGUGCGUAACACGUGAGGAACAUGACCUUCGGCGGGGGAUAGCCGGCCCAACGGCCGGGUAAUACCGCGUACGACCUUUCGGGGACAUCCCUAGGAAGGUGAAAGCAGCAAUGCGCCGAUGGAGUGCCUCGCGGCCUAUCAGCUAGUUGGUGAGGUAACGGCUCACCAAGGCGACGACGGGUAGC